GGCCUCGUAGUUCAACUGGAUAGAAUAUCAGAUUUCGGCUCUGAGGGUUGGGGGUUCGAACCCCUCCGAGGUCACGA
rnacentral:tRNA from 2 species